rnacentral:sRNA from 1 species
CAGUCGUGCCGCCAUUGAAGACUCCAAGAAGUGGGGCAUGUUGAAUCUCGUUAACCAGCUGUUUAAAAUUUACUUCAAGAUUAACAAACUUCAUUUAUGUAAGCCACUGAUCCGUGCCAUCGAGAGUCUGCCUAUCAAAGACAAGUUCAGUCUUUCUCAGCUCAUCACAUUCAGAUUUUAUGUUGGUAGAAAAGGAAUGUUUGACAGUAAUUUCAAAAGUGCGGAAGAGUACUUGACAU